CCUUCGAUAGCUCAGUUGGUAGAGCGGUGGACUGUAGAAUUAAACUAAAAGUAGUAAUCCAUAGGUCGCUGGUUCAAAUCCGGCUCGAAGGA
rnacentral:tRNA from 1 species